rnacentral:rRNA from 1 species
UACGAAGGGGGCUAGCGUUGUUCGGAAUUACUGGGCGUAAAGCGCACGUAGGCGGAUAUUUAAGUCAGGGGUGAAAUCCCGCAGCUCAACUGCGGAACUGCCUUUGAUACUGGGUAUCUCGAGUAUGGAAGAGGUGAGUGGAAUUCCGAGUGUAGAGGUGAAAUUCGUAGAUAUUCGGAGGAACACCAGUGGCGAAGGCGGCUCACUGGUCCAUUACUGACGCUGAGGUGCGAAAGCGUGGGGAGCAAACAGGAUUAGAUACCCCCGUAGUCC